GAUAAACGCUGGCGGCGUGCCUAACACAUGCAAGUCGAACGAUCCCGCAAGGGAGAGUGGCGGAAGGGUGAGUAACACGUGGGAAUCUACCUCCUCGCAGGGAACAACCUCUCGAAAGAGAGGCUAAUACCCAAAGAGUCAGAAAUGAUCAGAGUCGAACGGCGUGAGGAGAGGAGCCCGCGGCCCAUCAGCUAGUUGGUGAGGUAAUGGCUUACCAAGGCUACGACGGGUAGGGGAUCUGAGAGGAUGUCCCCCACACUGGAACUGAAACACGGUCCAGACGCCUACGGGUGGCAGCAGUGAGGAAUAUUGGACAAUGGGCGAAAGCCCGAUCCAGCAACGCCGCGUGGAGGAUGAAGGCCUUCGGUCGUAACUUACUUUAGUAGGGAGACGAGAAAGGACGGUAUCCCUAGAAUAAGCGACGGCAAACUAACGU
rnacentral:rRNA from 1 species